AUACGUAGGAUGCAAGCGUUAUCCGGAUUUAUUGGGUUUAAAGGGUGCGUAGGCGGAUGAUUAAGCGUGAGGUGAAAUGCCACUGCUCAACAGUGGAACUGCCUCGCGAACUGGUUGUCUUGAAUGCUCCUGCCGUGGGAGGAAUGUGUGGUGUAGCGGUGAAAUGCAUAGAGAUCACACAGAACACCGAUUGCGAAGGCAUCUCACGGAGGGGUGAUUGACGCUGAGGCACGAAUGCGUGGGGAUCAAACAGGAUUAGAUACCCUGGUAGUCCACGCAGUAAACGAUGAUAACUAACCGCUGGGUCGUAGUGAUUCAGUGGCCAAGCGAAAGCGAUAAGUUAUCCACCUGGGGAGUACGACCGCAAGGUUGAAACUCAAAUGAAUUGACGGGG
rnacentral:rRNA from 1 species